rnacentral:rRNA from 1 species
AACGAACGCUGGCGGCAUGCCUAACACAUGCAAGUCGAACGAGACCUUCGGGUCUAGUGGCGCACGGGUGCGUAACGCGUGGGAACCUGCCUUUAGGUUCGGAAUAACUCAGAGAAAUUUGAGCUAAUACCGGAUGAUGUCUUCGGACCAAAGAUUUAUCGCCUUUAGAUGGGCCCGCGUUGGAUUAGCUAGUUGGUGGGGUAAAGGCCUACCAAGGCGACGAUCCAUAGCUGGUCUGAGAGGAUGAUCAGCCACACUGGGACUGAGACACGGCCCAGACUCCUACGGGAGGCAGCAGUGGGGAAUAUUGGACAAUAGGCGAAAGCCUGAUCCAGCAAUGCCGCGUGAGUGAUGAAGGCCUUAGGGUUGUAAAGCUCUUUUACCCGAGAUGAUAAUGACAGUAUCGGGAGAAUAAGCUCCGGCUAACUCCGUG